UUGGAAAUGGCUGUACUACCCUUUCCAGAUUGAUGACUGCAACAGUUGCUUCACUAAGGAAGUGCCAUGGCCUUGGUGGCAGUGGAUCCCAGGAGCACUAUUAUUGGAGGACUGUCGCUGCAUGUGACAUCAGAGGGAGUCGAACCGUCCAGGUGUAUUGGCAAACAAAUCAGCGAUGUGUGAUCUGUGUGCUUUUCUACCGGUGCUCACUAUUUGCUCACCGGCUCCUAUGACAACAAAGUCAUGAUUACUGGUCUUCAAGUUGUCUGUUCCUGUGGAGAUUAUGAAGGUGCCAAGCUGUCCGUUGCUUGGAUUCUGGAGUUUGCAUAUUUUUUGUAGCCUGUUUGUUAUUGCAAAAGCAAAAUUUCAC